AGAGAAGUGUAAUCCGUUCAACUAUAGGGCUUACGGCUACUUUAUUUAAAAUAAGUUAUCGUCCAAGAUAUAAAAAUUAAAAUAAGUUAUAAAAUACAAGUUUUUCAAUCCAGCCAAUGGGUGAGUUGAAAAUUGUCAAAUCUCGCCAAUCCAAGCAGGCUGACACUAUUAUUGUGUAGUCAUCUUUCUGAGUCGGCUUCCUCCUCCUCCACCUCCACCUCCACCUCCACCUCCACCUCCAUGGCCAAACAAAAUCUCUCUUCUCAUAAUUUGCAUACUUGCAGCAGCAACUACCAUGCUUUCUUGAGCUUUACGGAUGAAGAUAUUAAUUUCCUUAAUCAGCUUCUUAAACAGCUGACCCUCAAAGGAAUACUCACUAAUGGCAUUGAAGAAGCAAGGUUUUUAGUUGUUAUUCUAUCUGAAACCUAUGUUUCUUCGGCUGGGUGCUUGGAUCAACUCGUGCGGAUCGUCGAUCGCUGGGAGAUCAACACGGAACAAGUUUUAGUACCCAUUUUUUAUAAGCUAGAUCCCUCUGAUUUAAAGGAUCAGAUGGGUAUUGUAGCUAAUGUUUUUGCUGUACAUCAAAUGGAAGAGACGGUCAAAGUUCAAAGGUGGAGAGAUGCUCUUACCAAAGUGGCCUCCGUUUGUGGUUGGGAUUCACGCCAUUGGGAAGAUAAGGUCUUGGUUAAGGAAAUUGUAAGAGAUAUUUCAGACAGAUUAAUUUACGGAUUAUCAAAAGAUACCGGUUAUCUUGUUGGAAUCUGUUCCCACAUAAAGGAAAUGGAGAAAACAUUGUGCUGCAACUCCAAUGUGGCCCAUAUGGUCGGAAUCUGGGGCAUGGGUGGCAUAGGCAAAACAACAAUUGCCAAUGUUAUUUAUGAUAUGCUGUCUAGCAAAUUCGAAGUUCGUUGCUUUCUUGAAAAUGUUAAAGAGAACUUCAAAAAACAUGGUGCAGCUUCUUUACAGCAGAAACUUCUUUCUAUAAUCUCAUUUGGUAAAAGGAAUUUCACUACAGGGGCCUACAACGUUGGUGUUAGUGUAAUCAAGAGAAUGUUUAGUCGAACUAAGCUUCUUCUUGUUCUUGAUGAUGUGGAUGACUGGAGACAGUUGGAAGCCUUAGCUGGAGAACCUAAUUGGUUUGGUUCAGGAAGUAAAAUUAUCAUAACUACUCGCGACAAACACUUGCUACAUGCACAUGGAGUGACUGAUAUUUACGAGGUUAAGUGUCUACAGACAGACGCAGCCCUCCAGCUCUUUAGCCAAUACGCUUUCAGACAAAAGAAUCCCAAAAUGGAAUAUUUGGAGCUUUCAACACGACUUGUUUCUUAUGCACAAUGCCUUCCAUUGGCUUUAAAAGUCUUAGGGUCUUUUCUUUAUGAAACAAGUAUAAUUGAGUGGCAAAAAGUUCAGGGUAAACUAGAAAUUAUUCCUGACUUGAGGAUUCAUGAUGUGUUGAAAGUGAGUUUUGAUGGGCUGGAUGAUUUGCAGAGGGAGAUAUUUCUUGAUAUUGCCUGCUUCUUUAAUGGGGAGUUGAGAGAAGUAGUGAGGAAUACUUUGGAAGCUUGUGGCUUCUUUCCUGACAUAGCAUUUGCAAUUCUUAAGGAUAAGGCUCUCAUAACUACAGAAGAUGAUAUGAAGCUGCGUAUGCAUGAUUUGUUGCAAGAAAUGGGUCAUGACAUUGUGCGACAAGAAUCUGAAGAACCUGGCAAGCGUAGCAGGUUAUGGAUUCCUGAGGAUAUUUACCAUGUAUUGACAAAGAAUACAGGGACAAGAUCCGUAGAAGCAAUAUCUUUAGACAUGUCUAAAUCCAGAGAUAUGCACUUAGAAGGCAAUGAAUUUGCAGGGAUGGGUCGUCUUAGAUUGCUCAACUUCUACGUAUCUAAUCCUAUUUCUAAACAGAAGAAGCUGGAUGAUAAUAAAGUGCACUUUCAUCAAGGUCUUCAGUACUUUUCCAGUGAGCUCAGAUAUCUCCAGUGGCAUAAAUUUCCUUCAAAAUCUCUGCCAUUAAAUUUUAAUCCUGAAAACCUUGUUAAACUAAAGCUAUUUGAUAGUAAAGUAAAAGAGCUAUGGGCGGGAGUACAGUCCCUUGUGAAUUUAAAAGAAAUUGAUCUCGCCGGCUGUGAAUACUUAACUGCAAUUCCUGAUCUCUCGAAUGCUAAAAGUAUCAAGACUAUAGAUCUUAACCGUUGUAAAAGUUUGAUCGAGGUUCCAUCCUCUAUUCAGCAACUUAACAACCUGGAAAAAAUCAAUCUUGCACACUGUGAAAGUCUUAUUUCUCUUCCUGACAGGAUUGAUUCGAAAUUUUUACGAGAAGCAACAUUUACUCAUUGCUCAAAACUCAAAAAAUGUCCUGAAAUAUUUGGAAAUUUGGAAGAGUUAGAUUUAAGCUACACUGGAAUAAGUGAUUUACCUAAAUCAAUUCAGGAGUUGAAAAUUCUCAAGUUUCUUGAUCUCCAAGGUUGCUCAAACAUCACAAAGUUUCCAAAUGUUUCACCCAAUACAAAAAUCUUAUAUUUGAAGCAGAAUGCAAUAGAAGAGGUGCCCUCAUCUAUCCAGUUUCUGACAGGACUUGUUACAUUGAAGAUUUCUGAAAACAUAAAGCUGUCGAGCCUUCCGAGUAGUAUAUGGAAGCUAAAAUCUCUCGAACUUCUUGAUCUAUCCGGUUGCUCAAAAUUAGAAAAUUUUCCAGAAAUAUUGGAGCCUAUUAAACUCAGUGAACUCUAUUUGAGAGGAACGGCUGUUAAAGAGCUACCUUCAACCAUAGAACACCUCAAGUCUCUUUCAAAACUGUUGCUUUAUAACUGUAAACGACUUGUCAGCUUGCCAUGCAACAUCCGGAAGCUCUCUAAACUUCACUUGAUAGAUUUAAGGUAUUGCAUAAAGCUUUGUUCUUUGCCACAGUUUCCAGAGUCUCUGAAAAUUUUGGCAGCAGACCAAUGUGAAUCACUGAAAACUUUAUCAACCAAAUGCAAAUGCUGUUUGAACUCUCUGCAUUUUGUGAAUUGCUUCAAUUUAAAUUGUAAGGAAGAUCUUCAAUUGGCAAUUCGGCUUAUGGCAAGUAAGGCCAUCAGGAGUAAAGCUGAAACUAAAAUUCUUUUUCCGGGGAAAGAAAUCCCUAAAUGGUUUCGUGACCAAAGUACAGGAUCUUCAGUUACCACGAAGUUACCUCUAAGUUGGAACGUGCUCAAGGGUAUAUCUGUCUGUGUUGUCUUUGAAUUAGGGGAUCCACCAAGUUUGGAAGACUUCAGUACUGGAUUCGAUGUAAAUGCUUUAUUACUAGAGCUGAAGGAAGCUGCGAAGAUGAAGAUGUGAGAGCUAUCAUCUGGGAUUGGCGAUGGUUUGAUGUUGAUAUCCAUUUAGCUAGGUCAGAUCAUGUGUUGAUAUGGUCUCAUCCCUAUACCACAACAACUGAAAAAGAAAAAGAUUGGUUGAAGAAAUAUUCAGGCAAGGAGGCCUGUUUUGAAUUCUGCUUUGAAACCUAUUCUGAACUUCUAAACAUCAGCAUGUUCAUGGUGAAGAAGUGUGGAGUUCAUCUACUUUAUGAUGAUGAAGAUGAGACCAUACUCAUGCCCAACAUAUAUCUUGCCUCUAACAAUGAGCAAGACGAAUUACCACAAUCCAAGAGACUAAAACUUUCAGAUGUAGUAAUGUAAUUGUGCAAGAGAUUCUGCUGCAGAGAACUAAGUUUUUCAAGGGCGGAGAAAAAGCUGUAGGCUUCUUCUUCUUCUUCCAGGAACUGAAAUUCCACUCCGGUUUCAUGACAAAACUAAAAGGAUCUUCGGUAAUGGCACAGUGCUGUUAUUUCA